rnacentral:rRNA from 1 species
AACGAACGCUGGCGGCAUGCCUAACACAUGCAAGUCGAACGAGAUCUUCGGGUCUAGUGGCGCACGGGUGCGUAACGCGUGGGAAUCUGCCCUUUGGUUCGGAAUAACAGAUGGAAACGACUGCUAAUACCGGAUGAUGACGAAAGUCCAAAGAUUUAUCGCCAGAGGAUGAGCCCGCGUAGAGAUUAGCUCGUUGGUGUGGUAAAGGCGCACCAAGGCGACGAUCCUUAGCUGGUCUGAGAGGAUGAUCAGCCACACUGGGACGGAGACACGGCCCAGACUGCUACGGGAGGGAGCAGGGGGGAAUCUUGGACAAUGGGAGGAAGCCUGAUGCAGCAAUGCCGCGUGAGUGAUGAAGGCCUUAGGGUUGUAAAGCUCUUUUAGCCGGAAUGAUAAUGACAGGACCGUGAGAAUAAGCACCGGCUAACUCCGGGCGAGCCGCCGCGAUAA